UACGUAGGGGGCAAGCGUUGUCCGGAAUUAUUGGGCGUAAAGAGCGUGUAGGCGGUCCGGUAAGUCAGCUGUGAAAGUCAAGGGCUCAACCCUUGAAUGCCGGUUGAUACUGUCGGGCUAGAGUCCGGAAGAGGCGAGUGGAAUUCCCGGUGUAGCGGUGAAAUGCGCAGAUAUCAGGAGGAACACCAGCGGCGAAGGCGGCGCUCUGGGCCGGAACUGACGCUGAGGAGCGAAAGCGUGGGUAGCAAACAGG
rnacentral:rRNA from 1 species